UACGUAGGGGGCAAGCGUUGUCCGGAUUUAUUGGGCGUAAAGCGCUCGCAGGUGGUCCGCUGCGUCGUGCGUGAAAGACCCCGGCUCAACUGGGGGAUGUCGUGCGAUACGGGCGGACUGGAGGCCAGUAGGGGGAUGCGGAAUUCCGGGUGUAGUGGUGGAAUGCGUAGAGAUCCGGAGGAACACCAGCGGCGAAGGCGGCAUCCUGGACCGGCAUUGACGCUGAACAGCGAAAGCUAGGGGAGCAAACGGG
rnacentral:rRNA from 1 species